GACGAACGCUGGCGGCGUGCCUAAUACAUGCCAGUAGAACGCUGAAGAGAGGAGCUUGCUCUUCUUGGGUGAGUUGCGCACGGGUGAGUAACGCGUAGGUAACCUGCCUUGUAGCGGGGGAUAACUAUUGGAAACGAUAGCUAAUACCGCAUAACAAUGGAUGACACAUGUCAUUUAUGUGAAAGGGGCAAUUGCUCCACUACAAGAUGGACCUGCGUUGUAUUAGCUAGUAGGUGAGGUAAUGGCGCACCUAGGCGGCGAUACCGAGCCGACCUGAUAGGGUGGUCGGCCACACUGGGAGGGAGACCGGGCACAGACGGCUACGGGAGGCAGCAGGAGGGAAUCGUGGGCAAGGGGGGGAGACCAGAGCGAGAAACGCCGAGUGAGGGAAGAGGGAUGUCGGAUCGGGAAGGUCGGUUGUAAGUCAAGAACGGGUGUGAGCGUGGAACGAUCACAGAGUGACGGUAGCGGAUAAGAAAGGGACGGCUAACUACGUG
rnacentral:rRNA from 1 species